ACGACCUUACUUGAACAGGAUCUGUUCUAUAGGAUCGUACCGUUGCACCCUUGAUUAUUAAGGAGGCAAGGUUGAUGAACCAUGACCUGUGGGCCAGAGCGUGAUUAACGGCUAUUAAGGAGGCAAGGUUGAUGAACCAUGACCUGUGGGCCAGAGCGUGAUUAACGGCCAGGACCUGCUUGAUGUCUGUUUCCGGAGCUGUAGAGGAUCGUUCCCCCCUUCUGGGGUGGGCUCAUAGGUUGUUGAC
rnacentral:snoRNA from 1 species